UCCCUUCGGGACAUAUAACCAAAUCACCUUCUUCUAACAAUUUCUUGAUCAUAUUAGCAUCCGUUACGCGAUCACGGCUAAGACGAACCGUUUUAAUAGGUGAAAUGAUCUCGGAGAGCCGAGACAGUGAAUAUGUGACAGCAGGUAUGGGCCGGCCAAGGGCUGUUGAUAGGAAAAUUGGGUCGAGAAGAGUUCGAUGAGAGCAAAUGAAUAGGACACCGGUUUGGCCCGUAGAUUUUUGGGCCCGAGGAGGUGGGUUGCCUUUGACUUUGACCCGAACACCAAGAGCCCAAAAAGCGUAAUAGACUAGUGGCAUUGGCAGGUAAGGCUGAAAAUCUAAGUAAAAAUGGUUCCCUACACGUAGUGCCUUCGGGACAUAUAACCAAAUCACCGUCUUCUAACAAUUUCUUGAUCAUAUUGGCAUCUGUUACACGAUCACGGCUAAGACGAACUGUUUUAAUAGGUGAAAUGAUCUCAGAGAGCCGAGACAGUGAGUAUGUGACCGCAGGGAUGGGCCGGCCAAGGGCUGUUGAUAGGAAAAUUGGGUCGAGAAGAGUUCGAUGAGAGCAAAUGAAGAGUAC
rnacentral:lncRNA from 1 species